UGAGGAAUAUUGCACAAUGGGCGAAAGCCUGAUGCAGCGACGCCGCGUGGAGGAUGAAGGUCUUCGGAUCGUAAACUUCUGUUAAGUGGGAAGAAAAGCUCGUCUCUAAUACAGACGAGUUCUGACGGUACCAUUAGAGAAAGCACCGGCUAACUUCGUGCCAGCAGCCGCGGUAAUACGAAGGGUGCAAGCGUUAUUCGGAAUCAUUGGGUGUAAAGGGUGCGUAGACGGUAUGUUAAGUCCGCUGUUAAAUUUUCCGGCCUAACCGGAAAUCUGCAGUAGAAACUGGCAUGCUAGAGGUUGGAAGAGAGAAGUGGAAUUCUCGGAGUAGCGGUAAAAUGCGUAGAUCUCGAGAGGAACACCAAUGGCGAAGGCAGCUUCUUGGUCCAUACCUGACGUUGAGGCACGAAAGCGUGGGGAGCAAACAGG
rnacentral:rRNA from 1 species